UACGUAGGGGGCAAGCGUUAUCCGGAUUCAUUGGGCGUAAAGAGCGCGUAGGCGGACUGUUAAGCGAGAUGUGAAAACCGGGGGCUCAACCCGCGGCCUGCAUCUCGAACUGGCAGUCUUGAGUCUGGUAGAGGAGUGUGGAAUUCCCAGUGUAGCGGUGAAAUGCGCAGAUAUUGGGAGGAACACCAGUGGCGAAGGCGGCACUCUGGGCCACGACUGACGCUGAGGCGCGAAAGCUAGGGGAGCGAACAGG
rnacentral:rRNA from 1 species